rnacentral:pre_miRNA from 1 species
ACUGUACUCCCUCCAUCCGAAAAUACUUGUCAUUGAAAUGGAUGUAUCUAGAUGUAUUUUAGUUCUAGAUACAUCCAUUUUCAUCCAUUUUAAUGACAAGUAUUUCCGGAUGGAUGGAGUAGAUC